CCUCUGCUGGAGGACAUCAGGAUCACCUAGAUGUAGUUGCUAAAGCUCCACUCAGGACUGGAUCAGCUGCCGUUUCGGUGCCGACUCCUGACAGCAGCGACACGGAGCAGCUGCCACCAUCCUGUUGGUGACUCUGCCAUGUGACCCUGCAGCCCAUCUGACCAGAUGGACUCCUCUCCAGUCCUCCUGCCUCUGCUGCGGGCCUCUUCGCUCGUUUCCCUGCGUCUCUGGGCUUCUGGCAGCUGCACCGCUCUCAGAUCCUCUGAUACCUAGGCGAGCCGGGUCGGGCCAGACCUGGAGUCAAAUUAUGUGAGACUUUCCAUCCCAUCCCAGACACAGAACGAGCUAGCCUAAGCCUCGCUAAGUCACUCUUAGCUCUGCCGCCACAGCUUGUGUGAGCCAAUUCAUGCUGAAUAAGACCAUGUUAAUCUGGGGUUUACAACGGGACUAAGUAACUUCGUUUCUAUCCUCUGUUAACCUGGAAUCGCUGCGAUGGCCAACUGGACUCAGAGCUGACGCCUCCUUCUUGUUACUGUUCCCAAGACAAGCCACCAGCAUGAGCGCGUGUCCAAAACUAAGGCGUCAGAUCCAACACCUUGCUUCGUUUCCUGUUCUCUUGGAUAAAUUCCAUCGACAUAUUGCAUUUGAGAUUCAUUCUUGUUGUCAUUAUAAAAAGAAGCAGGUUUUGUCUCUAUGCUCUGCAGGAUUAUACUGUGUGAGGUUGAGUUCUUUAGCAAACUUUUGCAAAAAUAUUUUAAAAUCUUUUAAAGUAUGAAACCAAGUACAUCUGCAUGUUUUCUGUUUAGGAG